GAGGUCAGGGUCAUGGCGCAAGCAAAAUUUGCCGUUCUUUCCGGCUUAAGUCACGGAAAAUGGGAACAAAACGUGAAUCUAUUUAGGUGUCUCUUAUUUUAAGUCAAUGAUUGGGCACAAUAUCCCUUUUUGAGGAGAAAUCUAGACUCGUGACUUAGCCGCCUGUGACGCAUCACGCGAGUACGUGAUGGAUCGUGCACCUUGGCCCCAGCCCGCGCGAUUACGUCAUCACCGAGAGUGAUUUAAAAUAGAGGUUGUCCUUUGUUCGCUUUUCCGCUUCAGGAGUCCGUGAAAGAGAGUGGUCAAAUGCCACAAAACCGCAUCAAACGGUCGGUUCGCUCCAUCUCCAGCUGUCCCGUCAAAGAACGAAGGACAGAAGAAAGAGAAGCGCAUUCAAUUGAAGUGUUUAGAGAGGGUAACACAAAGAACGCUUCGGUGACACAUGAGUCGGAACUGACAAGGAACAGCAAAAGCCGUGCCGUCCUUUGAAGUAGCGGGGAAAUUAUUCAGUCAUAAUUAACUUGAUCGCUUCUCGUUACGGGUAGUCAUCUCCAAAUUUCAACCGCUCAGCCGGAGAGAGCAUUUGGAGGAAACAGUGGCAGCAUGGUCUGUCAGUUGGUUUGAUCGCAGCAAAGUUUUUUGAAAGCCGUGAACAACAGGUUUUUUUCACAUUUUAAAAAUUCUUUUUACAGAGACGUGCUGCGAGAGAAAUGGCUGGUAAAACACUUACUUUGUCACUUGUAGUUAUGUGGUGUUUCACAAUUUUAGAACCGUAUCUUCUGCUUACCGGAAGCCCAAACACUGCGCUGGUGGGCGAGAAAUGACUUGUAAUUAUUGACUCAGUUGAACUACGCUAGUCGUGAUCAUACUGUGAAUGAGAUAACUGUGUUUUCUAACUAAACCAAGAGUCAAUACAGAGUUUUCUUUAACUCAAUUCUCUAAACAGUCGGCUCAGACGAUUUAGAGCAUUGUUCUCAGUUAAAAAAACUACAGUCUAGUGGUCUCAUCGCUCUUUGUUACGCCAACGCAUUAAACUUUUUUUCUUUUUUCGUCACCUCUAAAACCACUGAUUCAUAACUGAGGUAUUUUUUUUCUAUGACUCUCGAUUUUGAGUAUGUGACUUGCCAAGAUUUUA